rnacentral:rRNA from 1 species
UACGGAGGAUGCAAGCGUUAUCCGGAAUGAUUGGUCGUAAAGCGUCCGCAGGUGGCUAUGUAAGUCUGCUGUUAAAGAGUGAGGCUCAACCUCAUAAAAGCAGUGGAAACUACAUGGCUAGAGUGCGUUCGGGGCAGAGGGAAUUCCUGGUGUAGCGGUGAAAUGCGUAGAUAUCAGGAAGAACACCGGUGGCGAAAGCGCUCUGCUAGGCCGCAACUGACACUGAUGGACGAAAGCUAGGGGAGCGAAUGGG